CGUGGGAUUUGGAAUGAACUGGUUGAUCUCGCCGGCCAUCACGGCGAACGUGCGCUUCCCCUCGGUGAGCAUCUGCACUCCGCGGCGCUUGAACUCUUU
rnacentral:sRNA from 1 species